GGUGAAGAGCUUCAUUUAGCUGAUUGGCCAUAUCACCUGGAGACUUUGCUGUACGCCGCAGCUCAUCCAUCACAGUCUUGCAUACUGCCUUUUUGUGGGUCAGGAAGGCUGGAAAAAUCUCCUGAAAACGACGAGGCAGCAUGUCCAUCCAUGAAGGUUUGUCUGCAAACCAGUGCUUCUUGCAGACUUUACAGGUCAGCCGAGAAGCAAGUAUGUAGUACUGACCACUUGUGCCAAUUAUGACACGGGGCCGACCUGUUCCAGAGGAGACCACGAGGGGUUUUGGGCAGCCAUGCAGACACGGGAGGGGGUAGUUGUUACGCACUCUUUCCAUUAUUGCAUGGUCUGGUUUCCAGAUAAAAAAAGGAUGGAGGUGAAAGUACUUUGGGGAUGGUAGCUCAUAAAUUGAGUCAAUGAGUUCCGGCUGAGAUCCUCUGCUGGGGAGAGCAGUUCCAGCUGCUAACAUCCUGGUCAUAAGAUGGAAGUGGUGAAGCAGCAGGCGUUGGCUGAAAGUGAGCAGGAGAAGGAGCUGCAGACUGAGCUGAGGGUCUUCCAACGACUGCUGCAAAAAUAAAAAAAUACCUUGAGUUGUUGUUGAAUAAAAUAUUAUCUCAAAGUCCAAA